UGCGUAGGCGGUGCGGUAAGUCUUCUGUGAAAUCUCCGGGCUUAACUCGGAGCCUGCAGAGGAAACUGCCGUGCUGGAGUAUGGGAGAGGUGAGUGGAAUUCCCGGCGUAGCGGUGAAAUGCGUAGAUAUCGGGAGGAACACCUGUGGCGAAAGCGGCUCACUGGACCAUUACUGACGCUGACGCACGAAAGCUAGGGGAGCAAACAGGAUUAGAUACCCUGGUAGUCCUAGCCCUAAACGAUGAUCGCUUGGUGUGACAGGUACCCAAUCCUGUCGUGCCGGAGCUAACGCGUUAAGCGAUCCGCCUGGGGAGUACGGUCGCAAGGCUGAA
rnacentral:rRNA from 1 species